rnacentral:lncRNA from 1 species
AUAUUCAUGAUAUUCUUCAUGGUGGCGUCGUGGAUUCGGCGUAUUUGACGGCGGUUCGUGGAUUCGGAUCGGGGGCUCGUGGAUUCGAGUAGCGUCGUGGAUUCGGCGUGAUUGAAGCUUCGUGGAUUCGAAGUGGAGGCGUUCGUGGAUUCGGACGUGAGGCGUGGACAACCCGAAGGGUAGCGCGAAGAUUCAUAGGAGGUUAAAAGAGGUUUAGUCCGUGGAGUCGGUAAUCACCUUGUAAUCUUUUCUCUUAGUGAAUUAUUUUUUCGCGUGUUGGUCCCGUAGGUUUUUCUCCAAGUUGGAGUUUUCCCACGUAAAUCUCGAUGUGCUUUUUAUUUUCCGCAUUUAUUUUUAUUGCAUCGAGAUUUGUGGUUUUUGGCCGUUCACCUAUUCCCCCCCCCUCUAGGUG